rnacentral:rRNA from 1 species
GACGAACGCUGGCGGCGUGCCUAAUACAUGCAAGUAGAACGCACAGUUUAUACCGUAGCUUGCUACACCAUAAACUGUGAGUUGCGAACGGGUGAGUAACGCGUAGGUAACCUGCCUGGUAGCGGGGGAUAACUAUUGGAAACGAUAGCUAAUACCGCAUAAUAUUGAUUAUUGCAUGAUAAUUGAUUGAAAGAUGCUAUUGCAUCACUACCAGAUGGACCUGCGUUGUAUUAGCUAGUAGGUGAGGUAACGGCUCACCUAGGCGAAGAUACAUAGCCGACCGGAGAGGGUGAUCGGCCACACUGGGACUGAGACACGGCCCAGACUCCUACGGGAGGCAGCAGUAGGGAAUCUUCGGCAAUGGACGAAAGUCUGACCGAGCAACGCCGCGUGAGUGAAGAAGGUUUUCGGAUCGUAAAGCUCUGUUGUAAGAGAAGAACGGGUGUGAGAGUGGAAAGUUCACACUGUGACGGUAUCUUACCGGAAAGGGACGGCUAACUACGUG